ACCCCUGCACUACGGCCAAGGAUAUUCUUUAGUAUCACGACCACAAUUAUCCAUGCACUACGGGCCAAGAAUAUUUGUGUAUUCAUUAAUGGUCAUGAUCAUGCCAACAACUGUCCAUCAAUGCACUACGGGCCAAUGAGGAUUUUUACCACAUCAUUUGUAACAUUACGGUCAUGAUUACACCGAAUAAUCCCUGGUCAUAAUCAUAC
rnacentral:lncRNA from 1 species